rnacentral:rRNA from 1 species
CAGUCGCCGCGGGAAUACAGAGGGUGCGAGCGUUAAUCGGAUUUACUGGGCGUAAAGCGUGCGUAGUCGGCUUUUUAAGUCGGAUGUGAAAUCCCCGGGCUCAACCUGGGAACUGCAUCCAAAACUGGCAAGCUAGAGUAUGGUAGAGGGUGGUGGAAUUUCCUGUGUAGCGGUGAAAUGCGUAGAUAUAGGAAGGAACACCAGUGGCGAAGGCGACCACCUGGACUGAUACUGACACUGAGGUGCGAAAGCGUGGGGAGCAAACAGGAUUAGAUACCCCCGUAGUCCCUGUCUCUUAUAC